rnacentral:rRNA from 1 species
GAUGAACGCUGGCGGCGUGCCUAAUACAUGCAAGUCGAGCGAACAGACGAGGAGCUUGCUCCUCUGACGUUAGCGGCGGACGGGUGAGUAACACGUGUAUAACCUACCUAUCAGACUGGGAUAACUUCGGGAAACCGGAUCUAAUACCGGAUAAUAUAUUGAACCGCAUGGUUCAAUAGUGAAAGACGGUUUUGCUGUCACUUAUAGAUGGAUCCGCGCCGCAUUAGCUAGUUGGUAAGGUAACGGCUUACCAAGGCAACGAUGCGUAGCCGACCUGAGAGGGUGAUAGGCCACACUGGAACUGAGACACGGUCAAGACUCCUACGGGAGGCAGCAGUAGGGAAUCUUCCGCAAUGGGCGAAAGCAUGACGGAGCAACGCCGCGUGAGUGAUGAAGGUCUUCGGAUCGUAAAACUCUGUUAUUAGGGAAGAACAAAUGUGUAAGUAACUAUGCACGUCUUGACGGUACCUAAUCAGAAAGCCACGGCUAACUACGUG